rnacentral:rRNA from 1 species
GACACACGGCGGGUGCUAACGUCCGUCGUGAAGAGGGAAACAACCCAGACCGCCAGCUAAGGUCCCAAAGUCAUGGUUAAGUGGGAAACGAUGUGGGAAGGCCCAGACAGCCAGGAUGUUGGCUUAGAAGCAGCCAUCAUUUAAAGAAAGCGUAAUAGCUCACUGGUCGAGUCGGCCUGCGCGGAAGAUGUAACGGGGCUAAACCAUGCACCGAAGCUGCGGCAGCGACGCUGAUGCGUUGUUGGGUAGGGGAGCGUUCUGUAAGCCUGUGAAGGUGUGCUGUGAGGCAUGCUGGAGGUAUCAGAAGUGCGAAUGCUGACAUAAGUAACGAUAAAGCGGGUGAAAAGCCCGCUCGCCGGAAGACCAAGGGUUCCUGUCCAACGUUAAUCGGGGCAGGGUGAGUCGACCCCUAAGGCGAGGCCGAAAGGCGUAGUCGAUGGGAAACAGGUUAAUAUUCCUGUACUUGGUGUUACUGCGAAGGGGGGACGGAGAAGGCUAUGUUGGCCGGGCGACGGUUGUCCCGGUUUAAGCGUGUAGGCUGGUUUUCCAGGCAAAUCCGGAAAAUCAAGGCUGAGGCGUGAUGACGAGGCACUACGGUGCUGAAGCAACAAAUGCCCUGCUUCCAGGAAAAGCCUCUAAGCAUCAGGUAACAUCAAAUCGUACCCCAAACCGACACAGGUGGUCAGGUAGAGAAUACCAAGGCGCUUGAGAGAACUCGGGUGAAGGAACUAGGCAAAAUGGUGCCGUAACUUCGGGAGAAGGCACGCUGAUAUGUAGGUGAAGUCCCUCGCGGAUGGAGCUGAAAUCAGUCGAAGAUACCAGCUGGCUGCAACUGUUUAUUAAAAACACAGCACUGUGCAAACACGAAAGUGGACGUAUACGGUGUGACGCCUGCCCGGUGCCGGAAGGUUAAUUGAUGGGGUCAGCGCAAGCGAAGCUCUUGAUCGAAGCCCCGGUAAACGGCGGCCGUAACUAUAACGGUCCUAAGGUAGCGAAAUUCCUUGUCGGGUAAGUUCCGACCUGCACGAAUGGCGUAAUGAUGGCCAGGCUGUCUCCACCCGAGACUCAGUGAAAUUGAACUCGCUGUGAAGAUGCAGUGUACCCGCGGCAAGACGGAAAGACCCCGUGAACCUUUACUAUAGCUUGACACUGAACAUUGAGCCUUGAUGUGUAGGAUAGGUGGGAGGCUUUGAAGUGUGGACGCCAGUCUGCAUGGAGCCGACCUUGAAAUACCACCCUUUAAUGUUUGAUGUUCUAACGUUGACCCGUGAUCCGGGUUGCGGACAGUGUCUGGUGGGUAGUUUGACUGGGGCGGUCUCCUCCUAAAGAGUAACGGAGGAGCACGAAGGUUGGCUAAUCCUGGUCGGACAUCAGGAGGUUAGUGCAAUGGCAUAAGCCAGCUUGACUGCGAGCGUGACGGCGCGAGCAGGUGCGAAAGCAGGUCAUAGUGAUCCGGUGGUUCUGAAUGGAAGGGCCAUCGCUCAACGGAUAAAAGGUACUCCGGGGAUAACAGGCUGAUACCGCCCAAGAGUUCAUAUCGACGGCGGUGUUUGGCACCUCGAUGUCGGCUCAUCACAUCCUGGGGCUGAAGUAGGUCCCAAGGGUAUGGCUGUUCGCCAUUUAAAGUGGUACGCGAGCUGGGUUUAGAACGUCGUGAGACAGUUCGGUCCCUAUCUGCCGUGGGCGCUGGAGAACUGAGGGGGGCUGCUCCUAGUACGAGAGGACCGGAGUGGACGCAUCACUGGUGUUCGGGUUGUCAUGCCAAUGGCACUGCCCGGUAGCUAAAUGCGGAAGAGAUAAGUGCUGAAAGCAUCUAAGCACGAAACUUGCCCCGAGAUGAGUUCUCCCUGACCCUUUAAGGGUCCUGAAGGAACGUUGAAGACGACGACGUUGAUAGGCCGGGUGUGUAAGCGCAGCGAUGCGUUGAGCUAACCGGUACUAAUGAACCGUGAGGCUUAACCUUA